rnacentral:rRNA from 1 species
AUGGAUGCGAGGAACCGGCCGCCAUGGAGAGGAGGACCCAGCCGCGGCCGGGAAGAGGAGGAACGGGCGGCCAGGCAUGGGACGAACUGGCGCCGGCCGACUGGGAAGGGAGGGCCGCUGCAGCUCAGAUCCAUGGAGUGGGGGAGGAGGGGAGAGGAGGGGGAGGCAACCGCCUUAAUCAAACUCAGAAAACUACUUGAGAAUGGAAGGUUCUUCAUUGUUAUUGAUGACAUAUGGGAUUCAAAAAAAUGUGGAGGUGUGCCAUUAGCUAUAAUUACAAUAGCUAGUUUGUUGGCUGGUAAACCUAUGAAGAACUGGUCUAAAGUAUUCAAAUCUAUUGGUUUUGGAUCUGGAGAUAAUAAUACAGAUGUAGAGAACACGAGGAAGAUAUUGUCAUUUAGUUAUUAUGAUCUCCCUUGUUAUCUAAGGCCUUGUCUCCUACAUCUGAGCAUAUACCCAGAAGACUAUUUGAUCAUGAAAGACAAAUUGAUAUGGCAGUGGGUAGCCGAAGGUUUCGUCAAUGAGGAACCAGGGCCGGCAGAGUACCAAUGCUACACAAUAGUUUCUUGUCGUAUUCAUGAUAUGGUGCUGGAUAUGAUUUGUUCAUUAUCAAAGGAGCAAAAUUUUGUUGCCAUAUUGGAUAGUAAUGAAGAGCACACACCUUCACAAUGCAAUGCCCGCAGGUUAGCUGUCCAAAAGAGAGUUGUGCCUCUCGCUAACAUGAGCAUGCCAAAACUGAGGUCGUGUGAUCCCAGUGCGAUGCCAUCACUUUCAAACUUCCAGGUGUUACGUGUUCUAGCCAUGGAAAAGUGUAGUUUUGAGAGAGACCGUCCUUACCAUCUUGAGCAUCUUGGGAGGUUAUCUCAGUUGAGAUACCUGAGUCUAGAGAGCGCAUGUAUUAGAAAGCUCCCAGAAGAAAUAGGAGAUCUGAAGUUUCUGCAGACACUGGAUUUGAGGGACACUUAUAUAAAAGAGUUACCACAGAGUAUUGGUUUGCUAAGGAAACUCAAGUGUCUGCGUGCUGACACGGAUGGUGUUGGUAUAACAGUGCCGAAUUGGAUAGGGAACCUGACAUCCUUGGAAGUGCGAGCCUUGAAGGAUGCCAGCGCUGAUUUUGACUUUAUUGGUAGCCUGGAGAACCUCCCUUCGCUUCAGAGAGUGCAUGCUAGCAUCCGCCGCGAUAAUGCAUAUGUUUGUGAUAUUGACAAGGUGAGCGCAGCGGUGAGGCAAGCAAUCGGGACCCAUCCAAACCGUCCCACCCUUAAUCUCCGAGCAGUGUUUGGUCCACGUCUGACUCUGAAACAUAUGGAACAAGAGGUACUGCCAGCUUCCUUUUCGGAUCAUACUACCGCUGUUCAUACCUCUGCUCAGGUAAUAGACGAUGACAAAGAGGAUGAAGAAAAAUUGGACUCCGAGCAGAAAGAACAAGAGCCCCACUCCCAUGAUGAUGACAACCAUCCCGGCCCCCACCUAACAGAGAGCAACGUUGACGCUGCUGGUACAUCUCCUCCGGUACCUGAGCGGCGACGGACGUGGAGGCGGUGGGCGUGCUUCGCUUGCCUUGACUCGGGCAGCAGCAGUUCCGCCGCUGCACCUGCCACAGCAGGUUCAGACCAGUGUGGAGCUUCAGGACAUGGGAUUGAUCAGGCAGCAAAGGAUGAUAGGUGGACCCUCGGGCACUCGGCUCGGAGCGGCGAGACGAAGUACGAUGAGGGGCGGCGCCGCCGGAGAGGGACGACCGCCGCUCGCCGCGUGGGUGUUGUUUGCCGUCUGAUGCCAUCUGCGAUCUGA